UAAAAUAAAGCGAUCAAUUGCAAUCAGUUUCGACCUGAUCUUAGAAAUAAUUUUCUAUUUUUU
rnacentral:tRNA from 1 species